ACUCUGUAGUGCAUAAACCUGAUGCCCGGUGUUCAUGCACACAUGUGACAUGUGCCUCCCUCCAGCCUUGUUACCAUGUCAGUACAUUGCCUAUCUUACA